rnacentral:rRNA from 1 species
UCUGGUGAUGAUGGCGGAGGGGAUCCACUCGUUCCCAUCCCGAACACGAAAGUUAAGCCCUCCAGCGCCGAUGGUACUUGGGGCUUUCGCCCCCGGGAGAGUAGGACGUCGCCAGGC